rnacentral:rRNA from 1 species
CCUACGGGUGGCAGCAGUGGGGGAUAUUGGACAAUGGGGGGAACCCUGAUCCAGCGACGCCGCGUGAGUGAAGAAGUAUUUCGGUAUGUAAAGCUCUGUCAGCAGGGAAGAAAGACAUGACGGUCCCUGACCAAGACGCCCCGGCUACUUACGUGCAAGCAGCCGCGGUAAUACGGAGGGGGCAAGCGUUAUCCGGAAUUACUGGGUGUAAAGGGAGCGUAGACGGGUAAGUAAGUCUGGAGUGAAAGGCCGGGGCCCAACCCCGGGACUGCACUGGAUACUAUUGGACUUGAGUGCAGGAGAGGGAAGCGGAAUUCCUGGUGUAGCAGUGAAAUGCGUAGAUAUUAGGAGGAACACCAGUGGCGAAGGCGGCUUACUGGACUGUAACUGACGUUGAGGCUCGAAAGCGUGGGGAGCAAACAGGAUUAGAUACCCUUGUAGUC